AUGAGGGAGACCCUCUUCAGACUACACACGGGCAGACCUGGCCCCUGUCCUUCCACUUCCUGCUCACAUGGCCCUGGGAGUAGACAGACAGCCAUUGGUGGCGAGUUCAAACACAGGAAAAGGCCUCUGGUUACAGGAAGAGCUGCAGACGCCGGGAGACUUGCUGCGAUGCUGCUGGGGUGGCACCGUCCCUUCCCGGCGUGCAGCCCUGGCCUACGACUGGUGCGGCCCUCGCCUCCAGCCUCCAGCCGCUUCUUGGACCGUGCCUCUGCUCCAUCCCUCAGGCCACUGAUCCUGAAGCACAAAGAGAGCCCAGAGCAUCCUGCCUCCUCCAGACUCUUGCCCAACCAAAAUGGAAAUGGGGAGCCGCUAAUCUCCUCUCCAGCCACCGGGGCCAUCUUACCUGACACUCGCCGUCCGUGA
rnacentral:lncRNA from 1 species